rnacentral:rRNA from 1 species
UACGGAAGGCAGCAGGGGGGAAUAUUGCACAAUGGGCGCAAGCCUGAUGCAGCCAUGCCGCGUGUAUGAAGAAGGCCUUCGGGGUUGUAAAGUACUUUCAGUCGUGAGGAAGGUGUUAAGGUUAAUAACCUUAGCAAUUGACGUUAGCGACAGAAGAAGCACCGGCUAACUCCGUGCCAGCAGCCGCGGUAAUACGGAGGGUGCGAGCGUUAAUCGGAAUUACUGGGCGUAAAGGGCACGCAGGCGGUUAAUUAAGUUGGAUGUGAAAUCCCCGGGCUUAACCUGGGAAUGGCAUUCAAGACUGGUUAGCUAGAGUCUUGUAGAGGGGGUAGAAUUCCAUGUGUAGCGGUGAAAUGCGUAGAGAUGUGGAGGAAUACCGGUGGCGAAGGCGGCCCCUGGACAAAGACUGACGCUCAUGUGCGAAAGCGUGGGGAGCAAACGAGGGAUUAGAUACC